rnacentral:lncRNA from 1 species
GGGCCCUUUUGCUUAUGACAUCGAGAGGAUGAAGCGGAGAAGUAUGGUGGAGGUCCGGACAAGAUCUUGGCACUACUGUCAUUAGACUCAUCCCUGGAAAAAAUCACCAUGAUAAUAUGAAUAAAGGAAAGAUAAAGUUACCUAUAAGUUUGGAUAAGGAAAAGACUCGAAGGUAUAAUGGCAGUAAAUGGAUUCUGACAAUAAGACAUAUC